rfam:Egretta garzetta contig75127, whole genome shotgun sequence.
AUGCCAGUUAAAUGCAUCUGCUCAACUUGAAAAUGUUUUGCAGAGCAUAUUUUAAAAUGAAGCUGGUAAAGUAAAGCCACAGUACGAGCCUUGAAGACUUUGUUGUCUUGGAGGUCCCAAGAGAUGGCUACAUCU